CCACCAUGUGAGACUUCUGAGAUGUAUAAUGAAAAUAGCUUGUGGGUUUUGCUUGGUUAUGGGUUAAUUUUUGUCGGUGAACCUCAGUAUGGGAGAAUCUGUUAAGCUCAGGAGGGAUAGCGCCAUGAGCCAUGAUGAAAAUGAUUGUUGAGUUGAAAAUUUUUUCUAGCUUGUUUUUUGGGUCAUCAUUUUGUGUGUGUGGCGCUAUCUAUCCUGAGUUUCACGGGUUCUUCUUACUAUCUCUGGUGCAGUUUCAGCUUCAAGGACGAUAUUGAGUAUUUGGUAGGGUAAGGAUGAGCUGUGGCUGUGAUCUCCUGUCAAAGAGCUGAAUCUUGCGGAUGCACCUUUGGUGUUUCUUUUUUUUUUCUUUUUUCUUUCUGUUCCUUUUAACCUAGAAUCAAGCUCUUCUGAUUAUGUCUUUCUUUUUGUUUUGAUUUGAGCAGGGUGCUGAUAUCAAAAUAAGUGAUGUCA